rnacentral:rRNA from 1 species
AUUGAACGCUGGCGGCAGGCCUAACACAUGCAAGUCGAACGAGUGGCGGACGGGUGAGUAAUGUCUGGGAAACUGCCCGAUGGAGGGGGAUAACUACUGGAAACCGUAGCUAAUACCGCAUACCAUCGGAUGUGCCCAGAUGGGAUUAGCUAGUUGGUGGGGUAACGGCUCACCAAGGCGACGAUCCCUCGCUGGUCUGAGAGGAUGACAAGCCACACGGGAAAGGAGACACGGUCCAGACUCCGACGGGAGGAAGCAGUGGGGAAUAUGGCACAAUGGGCGAAAGCCUGAUGCAGCCAUGCCGCGUGUAGGAAGAAGGCUUUCGGGUUGUAAAGGACUUUCAGCGAGGAGGCGUUACUCGCAGAAGAAGCACCGGCUAACUCCGUGCCAGCAGCCGCGGUAAUAC